rnacentral:tRNA from 1 species
GGACUCAUGGUCUAGCGGUAUGACGUCACCUUUACACGGUGAAGGUCGCAGGUUCAAAUCCUGCUGAGUCCA